GAGGAACUCGUAAAUAUGGUCAUGGGAGCUUCAAAGGAUAGCAUCAAGUUACCACCAGGGUCGACCAUUGAAAUCACUAGGCUCCCAGGAUAUGUACUGGAAACUAAGGUGAAAGGCGAGGUAGUAAGCAAUGUGGAGAGUGAGCUGCUGUGCAGAGCCUACUUUCAUAUGUAUUUGGGUGAUGAUGUCUUCGACAAAGAGGCGAAGGA
rnacentral:misc_RNA from 1 species